AUUGUACUAUAAAACAAAAAGCAUUACAAAGUGGAGUCUGCAGGAUAAUUAUCCAGAAUAGGCAUAGUUAUCCAAAUUUCAGAUAGAGCCCUAUAAUUGUCCCCAAAAAAAGUGAUUAAAAAGCCAAAAUGAAAUACAAUGGUCGUGGCAAACUAUUGAGUUGGUAGUAUGUGUUUUAUACACCUAAUCCAGGUGUUUUUUUUUUGUUAAUUUGAAACUAAAAGAUUAUUGGAGUUGAAAUUACACAAGUUGUAACGAUUGAUGGAGUUGAAAUGACACAAGUUGAAAUUGUUGAUGGUGUCGCCGUUAUGCCAUGGCUGGAUGGCAAUUACAUGCUAUUAGAGAAGACUAGUCAGGAGGAUCAUUAUGAGAUUUUAAAUUUUCUAAAGCAGUAGUACAACCUACGAUGAAGAUCCGACUUUGAAAUGUAGAUACAUUCGAACAUCUUAACAGGAUCUUGAACCGUUGGUUAGAUGAAGAAAUUGCAGAUGGUGAAAGGAUCAGAAGAGUUCAAUGGCUUGGGACGACGUUCAACAAAAAUGGAGAAGUUCGUUUCUAAGUUAAUAUUAAAACUGACAAAGACGUUCACAGGAUGAUGUAUAUUUUUCACAAUUUUUUUUUAUGGUUGUAAUCGCAUAGUUAUGGUGUUUAUGUGUUGUAUUUGUUUGUGUUGUUAUUUUAUUUGUUGUAGUUUCUUGUGUUGUUGUUUAAUUAUUGUAUUUGGUAUGUUUAUCAUAUAAAAUGAAUGUUGUUUUUAAUAUAAAGCAAAAGAGUUACAAUUAAAAUUAUCUU